ACGAACGCUGGCGGCGUGCCUAAUACAUGCAAGUCGAGCGGAAUGAUGAAGAAGCUUGCUUCUUCUGAUUUUAGCGGCGGACGGGUGAGUAACACGUGGGCAACCUACCUUGUAGAUUGGGAUAACUCCGGGAAACCGGGGCUAAUACCGAAUAAUCCAUUUUGCUUCAUGGCGAGAUGUUGAAAGACGGUUUCGGCUGUCACUAUAAGAUGGGCCCGCGGCGCAUUAGCUAGUUGGUAGGGUAAUGGCCUACCAAGGCGACGAUGCGUAGCCGACCUGAGAGGGUGAUCGGCCACACUGGGACUGAGACACGGCCCAGACUCCUACGGGAGGCAGCAGUAGGGAAUCUUCCACAAUGGACGAAAGUCUGAUGGAGCAACGCCGCGUGAGUGAAGAAGGUUUUCGGAUCGUAAAACUCUGUUGUAAGGGAAGAACACGUACGAGAGUAACUGCUCGUACCUGACGGUACCUUAUUAGAAAGCCACGGCUAACUACGUG
rnacentral:rRNA from 1 species